rnacentral:sRNA from 1 species
UUAAGUGAUGCUCUUUAACAAAACUUUCCCAUUUCUAGAUGUCUAUCCUACAUAAUUACGCAAAGGUAUAUGUGUAUAUAGGAAUGUUCAAAGCAGCCCUUUUUAUAUUACAGAAAAUUGAAAAUGAUAUGGGGAAAGUUUUAAAUUGUAAUACCACUGUACAGUGUAAUACUACACACAGCACAAGAAUGAUCUAAAUUUAUGUGUAAUUACCUGGGAAAGAUAGCUAUAAUAAAUCAAAAAUGUAAUUGUGUAGUGGUAUUAUUAUGAUCCCAAUUUUUUAAAUGCUAUAUUGUGAAUUUUCGAAUACUCAUAGAAACAAAUCUGAAAGGAAGCACAUCAAAUUGUUAAUAGAUGUUAGAUCUAGAGGCAGAGGAGGGUGGGAGUACAAAGCAGACAUUUGUUUUAUUUUAUAUACUUUAUAAUAAGCUGCGUUAUUUUUAUAAUCAAAGGAAAAAAAUUUAGCUGUCUUACUCAUCCUUCAAGAUCUGUAUCACAUACCGCCCUUAGUGGAUUAUUUUGACAUCUUACCAGUCAGACUUGCCCUGAGCUCCCAUAGCGGAAUUAUUUUACUUUGAUAAUCCUUAUAUCAUUUUACUUUGUACUCUUGUUCAUGUGUUUUCCUUAUUGUUUGUUUCUGAAAAUCCUUAUUUUAUCUUUCUGGAAAUGAACAGUUUUCUUUCUUAUAUAUGAUAAAGUUCUGUCACAUAGCAUAAUCUGUUAAUCCAGUAUCCUGUUUUUGUAAUACUUACAGAGAAUAUAUAGACUAUGCUAGAGGCUACUGUAAUAAAAUGGGUGUCUGAUGUUUGUUCUCUUUAUGUUCACCCUGGGAUUUUUAAAGUAGUAGCUGAAUGUUUUUCUGAAAUAGAUCCAUGUAUAGGUGAAGUGAAAAAUCACAUGACAUACAGUCAAAUGUUUACGAGUCAAAAUAUGGGUGUCACACUGAGGGUAAGGAUAAAUAUAUGCUUUUAUAUUUAUAUUAAAUACUUUUAAAUAUUUUCUUUCUCUAAGUUUGGAAUAGUUGAUGCUGAUGGAUAUUUAAGUUUGUAUCAAACAAACUGGAAAUGUUGUCCAGUUACUGGAAGCAUGCCUAAGCCAUACCUGACUUGGCAGUGUCAUAACAAAACAGCCAAUGAUUUUGUCUUCGUUAGUUCCUCCUCUCUGAUAGCUACAGCUGGUCUUUCAACUGACAAUAGAAACGUAUGUUUGUGGGAUACUCUUGUAGCACCUGCCAAUAGUUUAGUCCAUGCAUUUACCUGCCAUGACAGUGGAGCCACAGUUUUAGCAUAUGCUCCAAAACAUCAGCUACUAAUAUCAGGUGGCAGAAAAGGUUUUACAUAUGUAUUUGACCUUUGUCAACGACAACAGAGGCAGCUUUUCCAGAGCCAUGAUUCUCCUGUUAAAGCCGUUGCUGUUGAUCCAACUGAAGAGUACUUUGUUACAGGAUCUGCCGAAGGCAAUAUAAAGAUUUGGAGUCUCUCUACCUUUGGUCUUCUCCAUACUUUUGUCAGUGAACAUGCUCGGCAGUCCAUUUUUAGAAAUAUUGGAACUGGAGUGAUGCAAAUUGAGACAGGGCCCGCAAAUCACAUUUUCUCCUGUGGAGCUGAUGGAACAAUGAAAAUGAGAAUACUGCCAGAUCAGUUUAGCCCUUUAAAUGAAGUGUUGAAAAAUGAUGUGAAAUUUAUGCUAUAACAUUUUUACAAUAAGAUGUACAAUUUAUUACCUAUAUGGAAGUGGCCAACAGAUGUAAUAUACAGUGAUCAUUCUCUAUGCCACAAAUUAGCUAAUGCUUUCUUGUUUUUAUAUUUAUUUUAUGGAGCUUUGCCCUUGAUGCACUGAUGCCUUAAAAAUUAACAAGGUCAUUCAGAAGUAGAUUACAUUCCCUAAAGUAGAAUGUGUAAGUAAUGCUGUAAUAAUACAUAUCAUAGUAUAUUAUAAUCAGUAUGUCAUAGUGUUAAAGGUGUUUUGUUUUCUUAUUGAUACUUUUCCACAGGCAUCUCUGCAUGAAUUUCUUCCACAGUAAAAAUACGUUUUUUGUAAAGGCAAUUGUACAUAAUACUCAUCACUUAAUUCACCACACUCUCACUUCCUUUAUUAGCCUUAUACGUCUCAAACUCUUCUCUUAAUUAAUGAUAGGUAUUUGAGUAAGAAUGAAAAAAAUAAUGAACAUCUUCAUUAAAAUUGUCAUUGAGACGUCAGUGAUAAAUGAGCUAGAUGGCUCAGUAUGUAAGGUUUUCAGUAGUUUACCCUCCGGAACCCAAGUUAUAUGUAUGUAUACGUGUGUGUGUGUGUGUGUGUGUAUCUUACACAUCUUAUUUGAACUUAGUUGUAUAUAUUAGUGAAAACUGGUUUUUCAUGUGUUUUUGUGCCAUAACAACUAUUGCCACCAGAAUAACUUUUUUUUGCAACUGUGCUUUUCAUUUUUAAAAAAUUUUUGAAUUCCCAUCCUAAUUUUCAAAUAAGUUUCAAGGAGACUAUCAGGAUUAUUAUUUUAAAGAUUAGAUUUAGUCAAAUAAGUCUUAGCAGGCAAUAAAGUUUCUGUGGUGGCAUAUAUCAUGUAAGACAAAGUAAGUUUGUGAAUUUGUCAACUUUCGAGCAUCAAACAAAUAUUUUACUUAAAUUUUAUUUUAUCUUAUUUUUAGGUGCUUUUAAUCUCAAAAUUCUGAAAAGCGAAUAGCAGUGUUUUCAGAAACAAAUGUGAAAGCAGUCAAAUUAAGUAGAUACUAUUUAGAAAUGUAAAAUACUCUCCAGAUCUACCAUUAAUAGAAAAUAAACUAAACCUUAUAUUUUAUUUUUGCCAAAAUAUUUUAUUAUAAAAUAUGACCAAAAUAUGUAAAAUGCACAAUGCUUUUAACUUAAAUGUGCUAACCCUGUUUCUGUCUGUUUUGUGCUGUACCUUUUCUGAUUCAGAAUUAUAGAAAACUUGAUAAAUACUUGAUUUUAACCAAUGAGACUACAGGCAGAUGGGACUAAGUGUUUAUGGGACAAUUAUGUACUAUUUAACUUAAAUAUAUUUUGUUUAAUAGGAAAUAUAUAAUAAUAGCAUUUUAUGUAAUAAAAUAUGGGCAACGAUUAUCUUGGAAAUUAAAGAGUCAAAGCAAAGAAAUGAAGGGCUGGUAAAAUGAAUUUUGUAAUAUCCUCAGGAUACUUUUAUCUUAAAAGUAUGUUGUUAAAGAUUUUGUAAAUUGUAUUUCAACAAUUUUAAAUGUGUUGAGCAAGUUGCAGUGCAAACACUGUCAUUAUAUAGAGAGUUUAUAUGCACACAAUAACCUGUACCUAUAAAUUGUGCAAUAACCAUAUGCGACUAUUUUGCCAUGGAGAAAUCUGACAGCAUUGCAAACAAUAGUAUUGUUUGAUGUAGUUAACCUUAAGUUAUUUUUCAGUAAUUUCUUCACAAAUCAAGAUUCAAACAGCUUUAAACACUUCCAAUGAGAUAAAAUAUUUACUAUUAUGCUUAUUAGAACAAAAGGUGUUUAAGGAUGAACUAAAUAUUUUAAUUGAGCAUUUAUAUGGAUAAUCAUACAUUAUGUAAGCCCAUAUGUAUUUACAUCCAGAGUCAUAAUAUUUUAAAUAAACAAUCAUGCAG